GACGAACGCUGGCGGCGUGCCUAAUACAUGCAAGUCGAACGCACUCUCGUUUAGAUUGGAGGAGCUUGCUCCUGAUUGAUAAACAUUUGAGUGAGUGGCGGACGGGUGAGUAACACGUGGGUAACCUGCCCUAAAGUGGGGAUAACAUUUGGAAACAGAUGCUAAUACCGCAUAAAACCUAACACCGCAUGGUGUAGGGUUGAAAGAUGGUUUCGGCUAUCACUUUAGGAUGGACCCGCGGUGCAUUAGUUAGUUGGUGAGGUAAAGGCUCACCAAGACCGUGAUGCAUAGCCGACCUGAGAGGGUAACCGGCCACACUGGGACUGAGACACGGCCCAGACUCCUACGGGAGGCAGCAGUAGGGAAUCUUCCACAAUGGACGAAAGUCUGAUGGAGCAACGCCGCGUGAGUGAAGAAGGUUUUCGGAUCGUAAAACUCUGUUGUUGGAGAAGAAUGUAUCUGAUAGUAACUGAUCAGGUAGUGACGGUAUCC
rnacentral:rRNA from 1 species